UUCCCCGUAGGGCAGCGGAACCCGAGGCGCCUGCGGGAGCCCCGUGCGCGGAGCCAGGCCGGCCAUGGGGGCGCUUAGCCUCGCCGGCGUGCGCCCGCAGGCCCGAGCCUCUGCCAGGGCCAGGCGGGCACUGUGAAGUCAGAAGUGGUGGGUUGAGCUUUGGGGAGACCUGAAGUUAAGGCUGCAGCUGACAAUGAAGGAUUGUGUGAUGUGAGCAGUUGUCUGGUUUGCUCCACCAUGCCUGAACCUCUAGCAAAUAAUGGGCACUGUGAAGUCAGAAGUGGUGGGUUGAGCUUUGGGGAGACCUGAAGUUAAGGCUGCAGCUGACAAUGAAGGAUUGUGUGAUGUGAGCAGUUGUCUGGUUUGCUCUACUAUGUGUACCCCUUGGUCAGGGGAGAAUGGUUGAAAUUUAUAAGAAGUUGUCCUGGCUGGGCCCUGCUGGAGUUUCAUUGUUCUCCUAAAGAAGACUGAUGGUUCUGUUCUGCUGCUCCCAUGCUGCUGCCUGGGAUCUUCAUCCAAGACACAGCAUUCCCAUCGCCCUGCAACAGCUCUGACCUUCUCUCAAAGCUGUCAGGAGUGAUGAAUUUGUGUCCUGCAAACUUAGAUGCAGGAUGUUACGUUUUUUGUCCUCUGGGUACAAGGCAUGUAACUGAUAGAUUCUGGAAAGUGCUGAAUGUUUAAUGCAGUUGCAUGCUUUUGUCUGCAGGGGCUGCAUUUCCUUCCUGGCAGCUUAUGUUACCCUGCCAUAGUCAUGGAAGCCAAGGAAGCCCCCCUGGGAGCCAGCUGUCAGGUACCAGGAGGAUGGCCUUGGGUGUCAGGGCUUGGUUCUCUCCUGCCACCCAGAAAGCUUCAGUGGUGUGUCCCUGGCAGCCUGUGAAGUGGGCAGGGGCUCUCUGGGAUGCUGCAGCACAGUGUGUUUCUGUAGUGUUUGGUACCUGUUUUUAAUAAAAUUUGAGUAAUGAGCGAGUUCA